rnacentral:misc_RNA from 1 species
UACAGAGACCUCAAGCGUUAUCCGGAAUUACUGGGCGUAAAGCGCAAGCAGCCGGUUGCAUUAGUCUGGCGUCAAAUCUUUGGGCCUAACUCAAAGACUGCGUUGGAAACGGUGCGACUCGAGUGGGUAAGAGGUAUGCGGAACGUGUAGUGUAGGGGUGAAAUCCAUUGAUAUUACACGGAACACCAAAAGCGAAGGCAGCAUACUAGUGCUCUACUGACGGUCAGUUGCGAAAGCGUGGGGAUCAAAAAGG